AAAAAAAUAAAUAAUAAUAAUAAAUCGGCAAAUCGGUGGCCAAAAAUACCGAUUACCGAUUGUUAUGAAAACCAUUCCGAUUAAUCGGUCGACCUCUAGUAGGAACAGUACGAAAAAACAAGCCAGAGCUCCCACCUCAGCUGUUGAAUACACGGAACAGGCCUAUCAACUCCUCUAAGUUUGUGUUCACGGUCGACAAGUCCCUAGUGUCCUACUUGCCAAAGAAAGGCAAAAAUGUGGUACUCAUGAGUACGCUGCAUAGGGAUGAGAGAAUCUGUGGCCAGGAACAUCAAAAUCCAGAAAUCAUAAUGGAUUAAAAUGCCACAAAAGGAGGGGUGGACAAUUUAGACAAGCUGGUGACUGGCUACAGCUGCAAAAGAAGAACCCUACGCUAGCCACUUGAUAUUCUUCAACAUCAUGGACAUCUCGGCAUACAACACAUGUGUCAUCUGGAUGGCGUUGAACCCAGAUUGGAACAGAGGGAAGCUCCAGAGGAGACGGCUCUUUCUCGAGGAGCUGGGAAAGGCAUUGGUAAGAGCUCAAAUCCAGAGGAGGCAACAUAUAACUAGGACCCCUGCUUCCGCAGCCAUCGUGAGGAGGAUUCAGGAGGAGAAUGCUGUUGCCCCAUCCGCCCGACCCACAGAACCAACAACUCCAAUACUGGAAAUUGCAGCCGGUAGCAACAAGCUGAAGCGCUGCGAUGUGUGUGGACCCAAGAAGUACAGGAAGAGACAGUAAACAUGCAUCAAGUGCAAGAAAUACAUUUGCAACACAAAAACACAGUAAAACUCUGUCCCUCAUGUGGUGUGUAGACCGGCCUUAAUUUGUGUUCAAUGGGGCUCAUUUAUCAUUUCCAUAAAAUAUUGUGUAAAAUUUGUCCUUCCAAUUUGUUCAGUUCAAAGAAAUACAACAUUAAUAGUGAUGAAAACCUUGUUUCAUUUAUAUUUGUUCAAGAUAAACAUGAUUUAUUCCACCCAUGUCUUGAUUAUAAUAGCGCUUUUAUUGAUCAAUGUGAUCUUGCAGAAGUAAAUAGCAAAUAUUAACCAUGUAUGCUAUCUAUAUUUC
rnacentral:lncRNA from 1 species